rnacentral:rRNA from 1 species
UACGAAGGGGGCUAGCGUUGCUCGGAAUCACUGGGCGUAAAGGGUGCGUAGGCGGGUCUUUAAGUCAGGGGUGAAAUCCUGGAGCUCAACUCCAGAACUGCCUUUGAUACUGAAGAUCUUGAGUUCGGGAGAGGUGAGUGGAACUGCGAGUGUAGAGGUGAAAUUCGUAGAUAUUCGCAAGAACACCAGUGGCGAAGGCGGCUCACUGGCCCGAUACUGACGCUGGAGGCACGAAAA